GUACUCUCUUCAGCAGUAUAUAUACUAUAAUUAGAAUGAUAUAGAAAAGAUUAACAUGUCCCCUACACAAAGAUAACAACUAAAUUCAUGAAUGAUUGCAUAUUUUU